ensembl:lncRNA
AUUACUACAGCACAGUCAUAAAGGCCCUUUGGAAUGAUUGUAAAUAUUUGUUACAUAGACUUCCAUUUUAUCUCACAGAAAAUUGAGAAAGCUAUUUUGCCAGAAAUCUCCUUUGGCACUAGGGAUCCCAGCAAUUCCUUCAUCCUCUAACUGCAAUUCAAUCCCUUCAGACUCCUUUCUUUUCCCUGAACCACCUGCAGAUCUCUGGAUGAGGUAGAGGUUAAACUUCCUAACUCCUUUCACCCCUCCCAACCCAAAUGUAUUCCUAAUGUUGAGCAUACACUUGAGCUGGUUGAGGCACUGUUGUAUUUUGAUGUACCUCUUGUGAGUGGGUGAUAGAAUUGGUGGACACUUUUUAGAGGUUAAGGGGUAAGCCCUGACCACAUUACUUGGAUCAUGAGAAAGGAGAUUUCCUGGAGGGAGAAACAGUCUGGAACUGAGCUCAUAAAGGAGUUUGAAGUUUGUAGAUAACUUGAAAACAUAACCUAAAAGGGCCUAAUGAUGAAUGGAUGACCAGAUGCAUGGAUGGAUGGAUGGAUGAAUGGAUGGAUGGAUGGAUGGUGAACUAGAGAAGAGGCUAGGGUAAUGCCUUAAUUUUCCAUGUUUAGGAAAGGGGGCUAUGUGUAGCUCUCAUUAGAUGGGGUUUUCCCUCUAUCUGGGCCUGAUUUUCCCAUUUAGUUUGUAUGUGUUCUCUUCUGGGGAAGAAUGAGUUGGCAAGGUGCCCCAACAGAUGGAUGGAAAUUAUAUAACGGAAUAAUGCUGUUUGAUGGAAUAAUCAGAUGAUGGAGGUUGGGAGGGACAGAGUUGCUAAGACAGGGGCACCAGAGGGUUGAGGACAGAGUAGGAGGGGAGAAGAUCUGGAAUCAAUUAACUCAAAGGAACUACAAAUUGGAUUAAAUCAAUUGAAUUUAAUCCUGAGCUAAGAGGCAUCCCUCACUGGCCACCUUUUUGCCCCAUCCUUAGAAGCCACUCAGACACCCCCCUAGCAAUUCACUUUUAAUUUAAGUGUAAUUUCUUUUUCUUUCCCUCUAAAUAAAGCGAAGUGAGAGGAAAGAAGGGGAAGAGGGAUGGGUUAUCAGGUGGUCCCUGUUUGAGAGUAGAACAGAACUCCGAGCCCAUGGAGAAGAGAUUUAGAACACAAGCUCUUUCAGUGGCAAACCCUACAAUGGAUACCCAUUUCAAAAUCAACAACAAAAUGACUGUAAGAUGCUAGAUUGCCAUCUUGUGACUGGCAGGGUUUUCCCUUAAUUCUUUAAGUGACUGAAUAAAAGUUCCCCCCAUUAGAGGACACUAGGCAUUCCUGCCUGGAGCCAAGUCUGGGCUGGGAGCUUCUGGGGUAAGAGGACCAUCAGUCCUGCUUGCCCCCUAACAACGUGUGUGACCCAGCAUUUGGCAGCAAAGGGGACCACGGAAAGCCUGUCCCACCUCCUACCCUCUUGUGUCCUGGGGCCUCUUCACUCUCCUUUACCAGUCAUCUUGUUAUAACUAUGGAGCUGCGUGUCUGGGGUUAUUUGGGGAUUUGGGGGGGGAGGGAGGAGGGGUAAUUUUUUUUUGCAUGACCUCUAAAGAGAAAAAAAAAACAUAUAAAUCUAUUGAUAGCUAGGUAUACAUAACUUUUGGCAUGUGUAUAUCUAUCUAUCCUGAGGAAGAGAACUUGAUGAAAGAUGAGCACUCUGCUCCAUGAAUGCUAGGGGAUCUUUCCUCUUUUCUGACUUUCUCUUCUUUCUUUUUGCUGAGUUUCAUUGUCUUUUCUUUCUGAGCCUUGUAAGUGUAAAAACAAAAAUGAUUCUUAUUUUGUU